GAUGAAGAACGUAGCGAAAUGCGAUAAGUAGUGUGAAUUGCAGAAUUCAGUGAAUCAUCGAAUCUUUGAACGCACAUUGCGCCCCUUGGUAUUCCAUGGGGCAUGCCUGUUCGAGCGUCAUUUGUACCUUCAAGCUUUGCUUGGUGUUGGGUGUUUGUCUCGCCUUUGCGUGUAGACUCGCCUUAAAAUAAUUGGCAGCCGGCGUAUUGAUUUCGGAGCGCAGUACAUCUCGCGAUUUGCACUCAUAACGACAGCGGCCAAAAGUACAUUUUACACUCUUGACCUCGGAUCAGGUAGGGAUACCCGCUGAACUUAAGCAUAUCAAUAAGCGGAGGA
rnacentral:misc_RNA from 1 species